AGAGUUUGAUCAUGGCUCAGGACGAACGCUGGCGGCGUGCUUAACACAUGCAAGUCGAACGGAAAGGCCCUUCGGGGUACUCGAGUGGCGAACGGGUGAGUAACACGUGGGUGAUCUGCCCUGCACUUUGGGAUAAGCCUGGGAAACUGGGUCUAAUACCGAAUACACCUCACUGGCUGCAUGGUUGGUGGGGGAAAGCUUUUGCGGUGUGGGAUGGGCCCGCGGCCUAUCAGCUUGUUGGUGAGGUUACGGCUCACCAAGGCGACGACGGGUAGCCGGCCUGAGAGGGUGACCGGCCACACUGGGACUGAGAUACGGCCCAGACUCCUACGGGAGGCAGCAGUGGGGAAUAUUGCACAAUGGGCGCAAGCCUGGUGCAGCGACGCCGCGUGGGGGAUGACGGCCUUCGGGUUGUAAACUCCUUUCAGCACAGACGAAGCGCAAGUGACGGUAUGUGCAGAAGAAGGACCGGCCAACUACGUGCCAGCAGCCGCGGUAAUACGUAGGGUCCGAGCGUUGUCCGGAAUUACUGGGCGUAAAGAGCUCGUAGGUGGUUUGUCGCGUUGUUCGUGAAAACUCACAGCUUAACUGUGGGCGUGCGGGCGAUACGGGCAGACUUGAGUACUGCAGGGGAGACUGGAAUUCCUAGUGUAGCGGUGGAAUGCGCAGAUAUCAGGAGGAACACCGGUGGCGAAGGCGGGUCUCUGGGCAGUAACUGACGCUGAGGAGCGAAAGCGUGGGGAGCGAACAGGAUUAGAUACCCUGGUAGUCC
rnacentral:rRNA from 1 species